CGCCAGACGACCUCCGUUGAUACAAAGCGCUGCUGUUUUUGGACGGAAAAACAGCUAGAACAGCGAAAAUCGAUUACAUCCCCCAUACUGGAGCUCUCUCUUUUACAACGUCAACUCUGCGCCUUUCUCAGUCCGCGCUUUGCUCACUGGGAGGAGAUACCACUGCUAUACAGCCUGCAUUAAAGGAGCAACCAGUAGCUGUUUGUAGUACGGGUCCUUCCUUCAAUCAACACAGUCACCAUCACAGAACACAACACAGAUCACACAGACGUUAACGGAUGUGCAUCCAGCCAGAUAUACGGCAGACCAGGCACACCCCUUACAUUUGGUUUACAACCAGAGUAAACAAAUAGGGCAUUUUCAUCAGGCUCAGUUGAUAAUUUUGUGUUCAGCAUUAAUUUGCUAAAAUCAGCGCCCUAACACACUAAAAUAAAGAGGUGAACAACAGUAAACAUUAUACCUGGUAAAUAUCAGCAUGAUAGCAAGAUGAUGUUAACAUUUAGCUCAAAGCACCACGGUGCCUAAUUACAGCCUCACAGAGCUGUUAGCAUGGCUGUAGAUUCAUAGUCCUGUGUAGCAAAGCUGCAGCAUCCUGACAGCACAGUGGUUGAGACACAUAAUCACGACUAAUUUUCUUUAUUCUGCAGACAUCCUACCUCAGUCAAACAGGAUAUCCAGGAAUGCUGUGGUUUCUAAUGGCAGUAAGCAGUUGCACCAUAUAUCCAGAUACUAGCCAAUGGCAGCAGAAAAACACUGUCAUGGAUAUACUGUAUUUCAUCAUAUUGUGAGCUGCACAAAUGGCAAGUUUCACUGACUGGAUUGCAUGUCAACAUCAGAAUGCAUAAGGUCAUGUUUAAAAAUAAAAGAUAAUGGGGCAACGCAA